CUUUUCACAGCUCUUCAGCAUGCUGGGAAGCACAUGGAAGACUGCAUUGUGGCCUCAUACACAGCAUUGCUUCUAGGCUGUCUCUGCCAAGAGAGUCCAAUCAAUGUGACUACUGUGAGGGAGUACUUACCAGAAGGGGACUUCUCGAUAAUGACUGAAAUGCUCAAAAAAUUUCUGAGUUUUAUGAAUCUUACUUGUGCUGUUGGAACAACAGGCCAGAAAUCUAUCUCUAGGGUGAUUGAAUACUUGGAACACUGCUAGAUACUUAACUUCCGCUGCAGGCACUCUAAUGCUGGAGCUACCCUUAGACAAAAGAAGAAGUCAUGAAAGAAGUCCUUGAAGGAUAUACCAAGAGCAUUCAUCUGUGUCAUUCGUGUUCGGAUUUUUAAGGCUACCUGGUCUCUUAACCAUGCAUUCAGCAUUUUAGAAAAGACAGUUACUACAUCAAUCUGCAACUAUCAAAAAUGAGGGGAAAAAGGUUCUGAGGAAAGUAAAUAAAGAAACCAUGCUCUUUAUGAUGCAGUGCAGUAUUUAAAUAUUUUUGGCAGGGUUUACCCUCCCUAUCUUUUUUUCUUGCUUUGUUCGUGACAAGUUUCAAGGGGAAAAACUUGCUGCUGAUAGUGCAACUGCUGUUUACUGUUGAGCCACUGUUUCAUGCCAGCCAGGUGCAAAGGCAGCUUAGCUACUGAGGUAUCAAACAAAUGUUCUAAUAAAGAAGUUCUGGACAGCAGCACCGCUCCUAUUUGAGUUUAAUUUGCUCUUGCUUUUUUAUUACUAGAUUAUUCCAAAAUCAUAAAAUAUAAAUUUUUAAAUACUUUUGUGAUUUUAACUACUGUCUAUAUUUAAAAUUUGUUGGAAUCCAAAGAGACAAGGAUUGGAUAGUUUAUUUUUUAUACUGUUUUGAUUGAAAUUAGGUUGUUGAGCUAUUUCUCAGUUCCAAAACUAUCAUGGCCCAUGUACUGUAAACUGAUAGACCAUAACACUUUGUAGUUCUGAGACGCAUGCAAACCCAUAAACACACAAAGCCAUUUGAGGGUAUGUUAUCCACAAAAGAAAUAGUAACUGUAAAAAGUUGUGCCCUGU